rnacentral:rRNA from 1 species
UACGUAGGGGGCGAGCGUUGUCCGGAUUUACUGGGCGUAAAGAGCGCGUAGGCGGGGAGAGAAGUCCGGUGGGAAAGCCCACGGCUCAACCGUGGAAGAACGCUGGAAACUCUCUUUCUUGAGGGCGGCAGAGGGAAGUGGAAUUGCUGGUGUAGCGGUGAAAUGCGUAGAUAUCAGCAGGAACACCCGUGGCGAAGGCGGCUUCCUGGGCCGCACCUGACGCUGAGGCGCGAAAGCGUGGGGAGCGAACGG